AACUCCAACCUAACUCUUGAGGACCAGUUGAUGAGCUAUAAAAUGGGCUAAGAAGCGUAUCUCCCUUGCACAACCUCAACCUCCUGCUGAUUUCCUCUGUGUGCAGCUCAUAGUCUAAGCAGGCUUGUUUCUCUCACUUCCUUUUGAUUCUUGUCCUUGAUUCAUUACUAUCUCGUAUACUAAAUCUUUGGCUCGUUCAAUUAUGGUGCUUUUGUGAUGGAAAGCAGUGAUGAUUCAGAAUCAAUAGUGGCGGAAACUUGUCUUUUGAUGAUCCGGCUGUAGACAAAAAGAGUUCAGUGUGUUCCACCCAAAACGAAAAAGAAAAAGGAGAUCAGUGUGUCAUGUGGAUGAGCAACUCUGUCAUCUUUAAUACUAUUCUGUAGGAUGAACAGCUUGUGACCUUUUAGUGUUUGUUUUGUCCUCUCCAUUUUAUAUAUAUAGGAUGAACAGCUUGUGUUGGAGAAUAAAAGUACUAAUGUUCAAUACUCAAUUGCAUGGGUUUGGUUU